rnacentral:rRNA from 1 species
AAGAUCUAGGAGUGUUGCUGGCCUCUAGGGGCAUGUGCACGCUUCACUAGUCUUUCAACCACCUGUGAACUUUUGAUAGAUCUGUGAAGUCGUCCUUCAAGUCGUCAGACUUGGUUUGCUGGGAUUUAAACGUCUCGGUGUGACAACGCAGUCUAUUUACUUAACACACCCCAAAUGUAUGUCUACGAAUGUCAUUUAAUGGGCCUUGUGCCUAUAAACCAUAAUACAACUUUCAACAACGGAUCUCUUGGCUCUCGCAUCGAUGAAGAACGCAGCGAAAUGCGAUAAGUAAUGUGAAUUGCAGAAUUCAGUGAAUCAUCGAAUCUUUGAACGCACCUUGCGCCCCUUGGUAUUCCGAGGGGCAUGCCUGUUUGAGUGUCAUUAAAUUCUCAAACUCACAUUUAUUUGUGAUGUUUGGAUUGUUGGGGGUUGCUGGCUGUAACAAGUCGGCUCCUCUUAAAUGCAUUAGCAGGACUUCUCAUUGCCUCUGCGCAUGAUGUGAUAAUUAUCACUCAUCAAUAGCACGCAUGAAUAGAGUCCAGCUCUCUAAUCGUCCGCAAGGACAAUUUGACAAUUUGACCUCAAAUCAGGUAGGACUACCCGCUGAACUUAAGCAUAUCAAUAAGCGGAGGAA